GGCUUGGAAUUGCUUAGACCUGCCUCUGUGCCUUUAGCCGUCCGGGUAAAAACAUCACCUCUCUGGAGGCCUGUGCUGGAGCACAAACCCACGUAUUGUCUGGCCCCUGGCAGGCUGGUCUGUGGAGGGGACACUCUAAGAGCUCUAUUUUAAUCUUUUGGAGCUGGGCCAGGAUCAAGUCCUAAAGCAGCAGCUGGGCCUGGCUCCUGGUACCGGUGAAGAAGCCCUAGGCCGAUUCAAUGUCAUCUACCUAGCUCCUGCAACCUAUGCACCACCCAAAAAACAACAGUGACACAAAACACAUCUCCAAAAUAAAAACAUUCUGAGAAUCCCUGCUUAUUUGAUAAGUAAUCAAUGUGAAUGUUUUACAUUCAUGGAAUUUCAAAGCUGAAGAAGAGCUUACACAUUUUGUAGACGUCUUUAUCUUAAAGUUCAGAGAUGAAAAGCACACAAACUCUUUCCCACGAGGCCCAGGUUCUAGCUCAGAGUCGGGACCUCUGUGAUUGCAAGAA